CAAAUCCUACGGGAGGCAGCAGUGAGGAAUAUUGGUCAAUGGGCGGGAGCCUGAACCAGCCAAGUCGCGUGAAGGAAGAAGGUACUUAGUAUUGUAAACUUCUUUUGUCGGGGAACAAAGGCGGAGACGCGUCUCCGGAUGAGUGUACCCGAAGAAAAAGCAUCGGCUAACUCCGUGCCAGCAGCCGCGGUAAUACGGAGGAUGCGAGCGUUAUCCGGAUUUAUUGGGUUUAAAGGGGGCGCAGGCGGGGGAUCAAGUCAGCGUUAAAAUGUGGGGGCUCAACCCCGGCCGGCCGUUGAAACGGG
rnacentral:rRNA from 1 species